AUUUGGUUUAGUAAAGACAUAAGUUGACUG
rnacentral:piRNA from 1 species